UCUGAGGUAGGCAGUCUCCUCUGUGA
rnacentral:piRNA from 1 species